CAAAUCGUUUCCGUAAACAAUGCUUAUGAAUAUAAAUUAAAUAACUUAAUGUAUCCUAUCUUCUCAAGCUCAACUUCCCAUCUAUAAAAGUGGCACACCCGUCCCCAGUAUCUUUUUAGAUUCUGGGUGUAGAGAAAAAUGUAUUGAUUUUACUAAGAUGUUUAUUUAUUAUUAUUUUUUUUUUAUACUGUGUACAAAAAUUCUACCAGAAAUCUUGAUCAAAU